UAUAUUAGCCACAUUCUUCUUAUACGAUUUUACGGUAAUCCAAUCGAAUGCCUAAUAUUGGUAGGUGCCGCCUUUAGCGCCCGUUAAAACCGCUAAUGAGCAAUUAGUGGUCAAAAUAUUUCCUGUUUGUUCCGUACAAGAAACUGACACAGCUGCAAGCCCAACCCGUGUACUCUGCAUUCCUAGCAUAUGACGUAUGUGACAGAAUGGUAUAUGUGAUGGAAUGACAUAGAAGUUGUUAUAACCAAACAACUAAUAAAGAAUCAAGCAGGACGGAUAUAAAGCUGAAUAUAGAGAAUCAAACAAACAAGUAGACUUUUAAUUCAGCCCCGCCCCCUCUUUAAGGUUUUAUCACACGUAGUGCGUAAACGAAAGACUAAGCUUAAACGCUGUGUCCGCAUGACGGGCAGACGGGUACCUGUAUAGAGAUUGUAAAUGCAUGUAAGAGCUGGCAGACGGCAGCUGAUGGGUCACGCUGCGGUGCCUGACAUGCAGCUGGUCCUUUGUGUUGAACAUGUACACAAGUGGACGGCUCCUCUAGAAAUCAGCCAGACGUUUAUUCCAAAAGGAAGGCCGUUAAUAUUAUAAUCUAACGCGCAACGGUAUGGACAUAACAGUAGUAAAGGCGAGACCCUAUU